rnacentral:rRNA from 1 species
AAUGAACGCUGGCGGCAUGCCUAACACAUGCCAGUCGAACGAGACCUUCGGGUCUAGUGGCGCACGGGUGCGUAACGCGUGGGAACCUGCCCUUAGGUUCGGAAUAACUCCCCGAAAGGGGUGCUAAUACCGGAUAAUGUCUUCGGACCAAAGAUUUAUCGCCUUUGGAUGGGCCCGCGUUGGAUUAGCUAGUUGGUAGGGUAAAAGCCUACCAAGGCGACGAUCCAUAGCUGGUCUGAGAGGAUGAUCAGCCACACUGGGACUGAGACACGGCCCAGACUCCUACGGGAGGCAGCAGUGGGGAAUAUUGGACAAUGGGCGAAAGCCUGAUCCAGCAAUGCCGCGUGAGUGAUGAAGGCCUUAGGGUUGUAAAGCUCUUUUACCCGGGAUGAUAAUGACAGUACCGGGAGAAUAAGCUCCGGCUAACUCCGUG